rnacentral:rRNA from 1 species
GGUGCUGCAUGGCUGUCGUCAGCUCGUGUCGUGAGAUGUCGGUUAAGUCCGCUAACGAGCGCAACCCUCGCUGUGUGUUAUAUGUGUCACACGGGACUGCCGGUCUUAAGCCGGAGGAAGGUGGGGAUGAUGUCAAGUCAGCAUGGCCUUUAUAUCCUGGGCUACACACACGCUACAAUGGCCAACACAAUAGGUUGCUAAGCCGCGAGGUGGCGCCAAUCCAUAAAGUUGGUCUCAGUUCAGAUUGUAGGCUGCAACCCGCCUGCAUGAAGAUGGAGUUGCUAGUAACCGCAGGUCAGCUAUACUGCGGUGAAUACCGUUCCCGGGCUU